AUUGCCUACGGGACGCAGCAGUGAGGAAUAUUGGUCAAUGGGCGCAAGCCUGAACCAGCCAAGUCGCGUGAGGGAUGACGGUCCUAUGGAUUGUAAACCUCUUUUGUCGGGGAGCAUGGCCCGCCACGUGUGGCGGGAAGGAGAGUACCCGAAGAAAAAGCAUCGGCUAACUCCGUGCCAGCAGCCGCGGUAAUACGGAGGAUUCGAGCGUUAUCCGGAUUUAUUGGGUUUAAAGGGUGCGUAGGGGGGAGGUUAAGUCAGCGGUGAAAGUUUGGGGCUCAACACC
rnacentral:rRNA from 1 species